rnacentral:rRNA from 1 species
AGCUCCAAUAGCGUAUAUUAAAGUUGCUGCAGUUAAAAAGCUCGUAGUUGCAUUUCCGAGGCAAGGGAUUAGUCCGACCUUUGGUGGGUAUUUAAUCCUCUUGCCUCGUCCUUGAGUGGUGCUUCUUGGUAUUAAGUUAUCGAGGAGAUAGCCGCUCAUCGUUUACUGUGAGAAAAUUAGAGUGUUCAAAGCAGGCUUAUGCCGUUGAAUAUAUUAGCAUGGAAUAAUAAGAUAGGACCUCGGUGCUAUUUUGUUGGUUUGAGAACCAAGGUAAUGAUUAAUAGGGACAGUUGGGGGUAUUCGUAUUCAGUUGUCAGAGGUGAAAUUCUUAGAUUUACGGAAGACGAACUACUGCGAAAGCAUUUACCAAGGAUGUUUUCA